CUGCACUGGCGGGCGGAGCGUGCCCUGGAGACGAGGACCCGUAUUCCCGCCACAGAGGAGCCAGGGAGACCCCUGGGUCUUAUCUCUUGAUGCUUAGAACUGGGAUUCUUAAGAGCUGUCCAGGGAUGAUGGACUUACUGCAGGGAGGCAGCUAGGUGGUUAGGAGCACGGGUAUAGAAUCACAAGGACACACCUGAUUGCCAAGCAAUCCCACAAGUGGUAGAGGAUCCAGGAAGCACGUCAGCUCUCUGGCUGUCCCCGUGCUCACAGAUGUGGGAGCCUGCUGGAGGCAAGAAACUGCAGUGAAGGCUCUUUCCAUGUUUUCUCUUUGCUCCCUCUGCCUGACUGAGACUGAGGCUUUCCUGUGUGGCCCCACAUGGUGUAGCAUGCCCCCUCCUCUUGGGAACUAGAGCAGAAUGGAGUCUCUCCUGUCCAGCAGGAGCCAGUGUCAAGCAAUGACGCAAGCAGGUAAGGUCCUGCAGCCAGGAGACAUCACCGGCUCCCACGCCAGUUCUGGGGAGAACUGAUCAUGAGCGGAACCAGAGGAGGGCUGCAGAGACCCCAAACCGAUCCAUUCCCUUUAAAAAGGGAAGGAUUUGGGCAGAAAACAGUCAGACUCUUCAGACCUGACCCCUCUAUGUCUGACCCCUUAAAAAAGGCAACUGCCGCCGAAGGCGCUGCCUGAUGGAUGUCCGAACAGAACCGAGAGCCUUCCCUGCUGGAACAUGAGAAGCAGUCAGUGCCGAGAGCUGACCCGGACCAGACGGAGGCCUUAGCUCAGCUGUGCGCCCCCAGCCUGACUUCGCGUUUGGUUCAUGAACUUCCUGCACCCUUCUGUUGUCUUGUUUGUUGUGUGGCUUGUCUUCUGUCCUGCUCCGUGUGCUGUGUAAGAAGCCAAGCUUAAUCACGUGGUGAAAUGUCAUGGAGUUUGGAAUCCUAGGCCUGCUUUAUAUUGUGAUUUAACUUUGCUUUAUGAUUGAAUAAAGCUGACACUGUGGAAAGACACAACUCGUGUGUGCGCCUUCAUCGCCUUCAUCGUGUGCUCAUGAAGUGUUACAUUGAAUUUGUUAUUAUGUUAUGCUAUUAGGUUGUUCUUCUUAUUGCUAAUGUAUUCCACUCUGUGAAUAUAGCCAUACUAUUACAUUUGGGUUUAUUUUUGACCGCCAGUCUCUAUUGGCUAGAGAGUUGGAAAGUAUUUUCAUAUGUAAUCAAUAUCCUGCUUCUCUUGAUCAGUUUCCUGACCUCUUCUGAUCACUUCUGACUGCUCUCUUUUUGAGGCUUACAGUCAUUAAGUUUCCAUGGGCUUUGCUGGCUCUGAGGCAAAUCCAAUCAUAGUUCUCUUUUUGUUUUCCUUACUCAUUCUUUCCUGAGUUCCUCUGCUGCUGCAUAUAUAUAUCUUGUAUAUAUCAUCUAUCUAUUUAUCUAUCUAAUGUUUUAUGUAACACACACACACACAUACACUUUUUUCAUGCUUAUCUCGUAUGUCAGUUAUUCUCAAUUUUUUUUACAUUGGGCUUAAACUGGAGGUAAUUUGGAGACACUUAUAUGGGACUUGUUGAAAAAAAUUAUAUAUUUUUUA